UACGGGGGGAGCAAGCGUUGUUCGGAUUUACUGGGCGUAAAGGGCGCGUAGGCGGCCAGCGCAAGUCAGUUGUGAAAUCUCCGAGCUUAACUCGGAAAGGUCAACUGAUACUGCGCGGCUAGAGUGCAGAAGGGGCAACUGGAAUUCUCGGUGUAGCGGUGAAAUGCGUAGAUAUCAGGAGGAACACCGGUGGCGAAGGCGGAUCUCUGGGCCUUACCUGACGCUGAGGCGCGAAAGCUAGGGGAGCGAACAGG
rnacentral:rRNA from 1 species